rnacentral:tRNA from 2 species
GCGGAGUAUAGUAUCAAUGGUAGAUGCACAGGGUCGCGACCUGCGUUCCCGGUUCGAUUCCGGAUACUCCGCU